UAGUUCUUCAAAAAGUUUUAUUCCUAGUUAUACCUACAUUAUAUUUUGAAGUUCAACUAGAAGUUCAAUUCGCAAAUCGCAAAUCAACCUCCAUGGUCACAUUGCAUUGCACUGAAGUUGCACCGCAUCGCUGAACCUCCGCUGCACCUGCGUUGCAUCGUUAAACCCAAUAACUACGGAGCCAAACUGAAAGAUUAUUGGAAAAGUAAACCAUCCUCUGCGAAUAACAGGACUAGGAGAUUCAAAGGUUGAUCUGGGAUCACUGAUACUCUGUAGAUGUUUAUUCAUCGAGUGAGAAAAACAUGUUAUCCUAAACUUCUGCAGUUCCAGAUAUAUUCAAGAUCGUUACUGCUGCAAGAUCCCUAGUUAUUCAAAGCUAUUGCCAUUUCAGCGAGAAGGUGUUCGGUA